AAAUGAAUAGACGGGCACCCGCACAAGCGGUGGAGCAUGCUGUUUAAUUCGAAACCACGCGAAGAACCUUACCUAGAUUUGACAUCCCCGGCAAAACUAUAGAAAUAUAGCCGAGGUUAUCCGGGUGACAGAUGGUGCAUGGUUGUCGUCAGCUCGUGUCGUGAGAUGUUUGGUUAAGUCCAAUAACGAGCGCAACCCUCGUCUUUAGUUGCUAACAUUAAGUUGAGAACUUUAAAGAUACUGCCAACGUAAGUUGGAGGAAGGUGAGGAUGACGUCAAAUCAUCAUGCCUCUUACAUCUAGGGCUACAGGCGUGCUACAAUGGUCGAAACAACGAGUCGCAACAUAGUGAUAUGAAGCUAAUCUCUUAAAGUCGAUCUUAGUCCGGAUUGGAGUCUGCAACUCGACUCCAUGAAGAUGGAAUCGCUAGUAAUCCCGAAUCAGAAUGUCGGGGUGAAUACGUUCUCGGGUGUUGUACACACCGCCCGU
rnacentral:rRNA from 1 species